GUUCAGAGUGUUGGGAGAAGGCCACUGGACCCAGAAUGCUCAGUGAAUUUUCAGCCUCCACCUGGCCUGAUAGGUUUUCCCUGCUGGCUCAGACAGUAAAGCAUCUAUCUGCAAUGUGGGAAACCUGGGUUCAAUCCCUGGGUCAGGAAGAUUUCUUGGAGAAGAAAAUGGCAAUCCACUCCGUUACUAUUGCCUGGAAAAUUUCAUGGACAGAGGAGCCUGCAGGUCCUGCAGUUCAUGGCAGCUUUGUCAAAAUGUGAGUGGCAGGCGUGUGGGGCUGAGGAUCCCUUUGUCAGAAGACAGUGGCUCUAGGACACAGAUGGCUGCAAGCUGAACUUGAACCAUGGAAGGGCAGCCUGGCUUCACACUGCAAGCAAAAAGCAAUGGCAACCCACCCCAGUGUUCUUGACUGGAGAAUCCCAGGGACGGAGGAGCCUGGUGGGCUGCUAUCUAUGGGGUCGCACAGAGUCGGACACGACUGAAGUGACUUAGCAGCAGCAGCAGCAGCAGCAGCAGCAGCAGCAGCAAUAUCCUAAUAACCCAUAUAGACAGAUUGAAAUCUACAUCAUCAGCUGCCCUACCUCUCAGGCCUUCAGACUAAGACUAUCUUGUAUGAUCUGCAUUCCUGGGCCUCCAAUCUACAAGUGAACAGUACUCUGCGGGACCUCUCAGCCUCAGUAGUCAUAGGAACUCCUUCCCUCUCUCACUCUCUCCCUCUCUCUUUCUCUAGCUUUCUCUCCCUCUCUCUUUCUCUCUCUCUUCCUCUCUCACUUUCUCUCUUCUUCUCUCCCUCUCCCUAUGGUUCUCUGGACAACUCUGACUUACAUCUCUCUUGUUUUUUUUAAAUCAUUUUUCCCCCUUGGGAGGCAUCAAGUUUUUAUAGAUGAAGAAGAACUGGGAAGAUGUACCAUUGUCCCACUUUUCCCCCUCAUUAUUCCACACUUAGAAUCACUAAGCUCAACCCCCAAAUUGAAGGACUUCUGUUGUUCAGUGUUGUCAGUAGGUUAGUGGACCUAAUUUCAGGUUCCUAUUUUGAAAACCAUUUUUAGCUACAGGCUUAAACCAUGUUACAGCACCUCUAACACUAAUAGAGAUCACAUUUAACCUCCAUCGUUUGGACUUCUUUGUCCUUUUUAUUAUGUUUUUAUCUUUGGCACAAAAACAACUAUGUCUAACAGAAAGCCUAAGGAAGGAUGUGGUAAGGAUGAGGGGAAGUGGUGUUCGUUAAAAUCCUGUUUGGUAUCAAGUGCUAUGCUGCACAGUUUAUAUGAGCUCUGUUUAUUUGAUCCUCACAAAUUAUAUGCUUACUUUCUGGAACUUUAUUAGUUGUUAUUUAUGCUUUUCCCUGUUCAGGUCCUGAGAAAGAAUUUAAGUGUAGUAGUUGAUUUGGGAAGGGACCCAGGAAGUUCUCUAAAGACAUGGGGAAGAAAGAUGGGAAUCUGGCCAGGCAUGUGGGGCUGAGUAAUGUGUCACUUCCAAGGGCACUUGGGACCGAGCUUGUUGGGGCCACCGUGCUGAGGGCAAGUGGGGCAGGCUCAGAGCUGUGAAUGGCGAGAGUUAGAUGUUUACCUUUCAGUUACCACCUCAGGUUGCUGGAGCACUGGCUCCUCAGCGCUCUGAGCCGGACCUGCCCAAGAUGAAGCAGAUCUGUUUCCUGGAUGUCCUCUGAUGGAUAAAACAGGAAGCCAGAGGCAUCUAUGUACAUGGAAAUGGCCUUGGACCCUGCAAACGGUAGCUGUGGCAGGGUCGCCAAGAGAGGGCAAAUGCCAAGAAAUACUAUAUGGUGACAUGAAAAUCAAGAACCAUAGGAAACUGUAUGCAGCCUGAAGAUUGACAUAUAGAAUUCAGCUCUGUCUGUGCCAGGUGAGCACCUGAGAGAAACUUAAUUGAGCUCUGAUAAUGUCUCCUAAUUCCGCUUAACACUGAGGGGUAUUAGUGGAGGCAACUGAAAUCAAUGAUCUGAUGACUUUGGACAUUUUUUGUGGAUUCUAAGCCCACUCCUGCAAAGUCUUCAACCUUUUAGUGUCCAGCUGGGAGCUGCAGAAGGUGAGGAGCAGACUCCAAUCACAGCUGCUUUAGAAAGCCAGAGUGAUGAGGAAAACGUCCAUUUCAGCUGGGCUGUCAUGCCUGACUUGAGAAGGAUGCAUAAUAUUCCAAGGAAAAGAGCAUCACUCUUAAAGAACUGAGCCCCCAAAACUCUGCUUUCACUAUUCAUUUUCAAGGGUUGUUUCUAAUGAUCAUUAGUAUGAGGUCAGCUUGAAAAAAAAAUGUCAACUUGCAUUUUUCUCUUGUGACGUAUCUUGUAAAAGAUAUUCCUUUUCAUAUUGGUGCCCAAAAUCAAUGUGUGCCCAGUGAUUGUCUUUCCUUUGUCAAAACCACCUGAGGACUGUGGUAUGAAAAUGGUGGAGUCUAGAUGAAUGGGAAGCUGAACUCCCUCCAGUUGAAGAGGACUUGAGUUCAAUUAAUUAUCAAAGGUCAUAAGGAAAUAUUUCUUUGUGAAUCUCACUGAGGAUUGAAAACUUACUUUUCCUUUAACCAAAUAGUAG
ensembl:lncRNA